rnacentral:rRNA from 1 species
UGGGGAAUAUUGCACAAUGGGCGCAAGCCUGAUGCAGCCAUGCCGCGUGUGUGAAGAAGGCCUUCGGGUUGUAAAGCACUUUCAGCGAGGAGGAAGGUGGUGAGCUUAAUACGCUCAUCAAUUGACGUUACUCGCAGAAGAAGCACCGGCUAACUCCGUGCCAGCAGCCGCGGUAAUACGGAGGGUGCAAGCGUUAAUCGGAAUUACUGGGCGUAAAGCGCACGCAGGCGGUUUGUUAAGUCAGAUGUGAAAUCCCCGGGCUCAACCUGGGAACUGCAUUUGAAACUGGCAAGCUAGAGUCUCGUAGAGGGGGGUAGAAUUCCAGGUGUAGCGGUGAAAUGCGUAGAGAUCUGGAGGAAUACCGGUGGCGAAGGCGGCCCCCUGGACGAAGACUGACGCUCAGGUGCGAAAGCGUGGGGCAGCAAACAGGAUUAGAUACCCUGGUAGUCCAGCGCUGUAAAACGAUGUCGAUUUUGGAGGUUGUGCCCUUGAGGCGUGGCUUCCGGAGCUAACGCGUUAAAUCGACCGCCUGGGGAGUACGGCCGCAAGGUUAAAACUUAAAUGAAUUGACGGGGUCU